GUGGGGAAUAUUGGACAAUGGGCGAAAGCCUGAUCCAGCCAUGCCGCGUGUGUGAAGAAGGUCUUCGGAUUGUAAAGCACUUUAAGUUGGGAGGAAGGGCAGUAAGUUAAUACCUUGCUGUUUUGACGUUACCGACAGAAUAAGCACCGGCUAACUUCGUGCCAGCAGCCGCGGUAAUACGAAGGGUGCAAGCGUUAAUCGGAAUUACUGGGCGUAAAGCGCGCGUAGGUGGUUUUGUAAGUUGGAGGUGAAAUCCCCGGGCUCAACCUGGGAACUGCCUCCAAAACUGCAUGACUAGAGUACGGUAGAGGGUAGUGGAAUUUCCUGGGUAGCGGUGAAAUGCGUAGAUAUAGGAAGGAACACCAGUGGCGAAGGCGACUACCUGGACUGAUACUGACACUGAGGUGCGAAAGCGUGGGGAGCAAACAGGAUUAGAUACCCGAGUAGUCC
rnacentral:rRNA from 1 species